rnacentral:snRNA from 1 species
CCAGCUUCCUUUGCCAUAACGGCUUAGAUCAAGUGUAGUAUCUGUUCUUUUCAGUUUAAUCUCUGAAACUGUCCUCCACAAACGGACAAAAUAACGAUUAAACCCAAUUUUUACAACGCGAUCCCGGGACGCGUGCUGCGGGCUUGCUCACAGCGGUCCUGGGAUACCGUGUCUCUGGUAUCACACUGCUUCCAGAUGACGCGAAUGGGC